rnacentral:rRNA from 1 species
CGUAAGCGUCGCGUAGGCGGCUUUGUAAGUCAGAGGUGAAAUCCUGGAGCUCAACUCCAGAACUGCCUUUGAGACUGCAUCGCUUGAAUCCAGGAGAGGUGAGUGGAAUUCCCAGUGUAGAGGUGAAAUUCGUAGAUAUUCGGAAGAACACCAAUGGCGAAGGCAGCUCACUGGACUGGUAUUGACGCUGAAGUGCGAAAGCGUGGGGAGCAAACAGGAUUAAAUACCCUGGUAGUCCACGCCCUAAACGAUGAUUACUAGCUGUCGGGGCUCUUAUAGUUUCGGUGGAGCACCUAACGCAUUAAUUUAUCCGCCUGGGAAGUACGGC